rnacentral:rRNA from 1 species
GACGAACGCUGGCGGCGUGCUUAACACAUGCAAGUCGAACGCUGAAGCUUGGUGCUUGCACUGGGUGGAUGAGUGGCGAACGGGUGAGUAAUACGUGAGUAACCUGCCCUUGACUCUGGGAUAAGCCUGGGAAACUGGGUCUAAUACUGGAUACGACAUGUCACCGCAUGGUGGUGUGUGGAAAGGGUUUUACUGGUUUUGGAUGGGCUCACGGCCUAUCAGCUUGUUGGUGGGGUAAUGGCUCACCAAGGCGACGACGGGUAGCCGGCCUGAGAGGGUGACCGGCCACACUGGGACUGAGACACGGCCCAGACUCCUACGGGGGGCAGCAGUGGGGAAUAUUGCACAAUGGGCGGAAGCCUGAUGCAGCGACGCCGCGUGAGGGAUGACGGCCUUCGGGUUGUAAACCUCUUUCAGCACGGAAGAAGCGAAAGUGACGGUACGUGCAGAAGAAGCGCCGGCUAACUACGUG